rnacentral:tRNA from 3 species
GGAGGGGUACCCAAGCGGUCAACGGGAACAGACUGUAAAUCUGUCGGCUCAGCCUUCGCAGGUUCGAAUCCUGCCCCCUCCACCA